GCCGCCAUAGCUCAGUCGGUUAGAGCGUGGGUCUAAUAUGCCCAAGGUCGCAGGUUCGACCCCUGCUGGCGGCA
rfam:Steinernema glaseri strain NC unplaced genomic scaffold GLAS_1655, whole genome shotgun sequence.